CAAUUUUGAAUCUAGAGGCUGUUAAUCUAGAGGCUCGUAAUUAGCCACAAAAAUUAUUUUAAAGCAUGUAACUGGGAAUAUUCAGUAUAUAAAACACGGGUGGAAAAUAUAGCGGACCAUUGGUCCCAGAAAGUUUGUAUGCUGGCAGAAAGAAAAAAAGGAAGAAAGAAAAGAAGGAAAAGGAAAGAAAGAACAAAAAUAGAAAGAAACUGCACCACUAAGUAGCCAUUUUGUUCAGGG
rnacentral:lncRNA from 1 species